rnacentral:lncRNA from 1 species
ACUGCAUUGCUGAAAUUCACAUCUGAAAUAUUCAGACUUAUGUGGUAAAAGCACACCUGAAUUCACUUCUGAAAUUCACAUCUGAAAGCACAUCUGAAACUUGUCCUAGACAGACUCUUUUUUUAAAUGUGUCCUAGAUAGACUCUUUUUUUAAAUCAAUCCUAGACAAACUCUUUUUUAAACAGUAAUAAUCUCGAGCCCUCAUGGGUUUCUGCUGCUAGAGCACAUCUGAAACUUGUCCUAGAGCUACUUGUCACUGCGUGGGAUCCCUGCCAGGUUCCUCAUCUCUCCACCAGCAUACUGCCAGAUGAAUUGUCUUCCCUCACCAAGCUAAGGUACCUGCUGGCAGCUACCAUUUGGCUCACUACAGUUCCACACGAAAUCAUUUCCAAGUGCAUAUAAUGGGUAAUAACAAGGGUCAAUAUUCAGACAGAAACUUAGACAGAAACAUGCAAUAGGAAACAGGGGGCACUUAAAACUAAACAUGCUCAUACAGAUUCAGACGGAAACACGGGUAAGCUAAAAACUGCAAAUUUGUUGGCCGAUUGUUGUCAAACAGUUGAAACAUCAUAUAUGUGACUCAUUCUACACACUUGGAUCAGCAGCAACAAUCAAUCCCCCACUAAUUUACCCUAAAGAGACCGCCAACCCUUUGAUCACGAUCACCACCCCGUAAAGCCAAAAUUCGUCCUUCCUUCAACCUC